AGCACAAUUUCCACUCUGGUAUGAGAGGCAAGAUUUGAAGUACUGAAUCACUGUAAUGCUGUCUUGAUGAGAGACUUCAGUGUCAUUUUAAUCUUGUACCAUUUGCAGUUUUUAGAUCUGAGGUAUACUUUCUACAUGUAACUACUGAACUGUACAGAAUGGUGCAUGGCGACCAGUGCCAGUACUGAAACACUGCUUUAUGUCAUACCUCUGCAAGCAGAAGUAUUCUGACAAUAGGGCUUACAGCUGAAGUAAAAUAUUUGUUUUGAUGUUUAACACAGUGAGUGAACAGCUUGUGUGAAAUUAAAAUUCUGGUUAAAUUCUGUGAGACAAGUACUCCUCCCAGUAGAUACCUAUGAAAGCAAAAGUGAUGACGUUACCCUAGCUUUUGGAACUAUUAGUUCCUUCCCAUGGGUGGAGAGAUGGGUAGAUUGGAGAAGGGUGAAGAGGGAGGACAGGUCACUCACACAUCAGGAUGAGAGAGGCCCGCCUGUAAUGAGGACAGUAGCAUUAACAGUUUGAGUGAUGUCCUCAGUAUUGAAGUUAAGCUCGUCCUGCUUGUGGUUGUUUCUAUAUUUGCUGAAAUCGAUCACAUACCUUGAUCUUCUUCAUACUCACAAUCUUUCAGUGUACUAACAGUCCUAACGUACAAGUAAAUUUCAGUCCAAGACCCAAUGCUUCCUUCUUUAACUGUGAUAAUCUCACUGCCUGUAGGACAUAACAUAAUUGUGAUUGGUAACUAUCAGUUGCUCUAAUGACUGCUAUUUUACCAAGCUAUGUGUGAUCCUCCAUCUGAUCUACAGUUGUAAAAUCACAUUCAGGAGGGCGAUGGUUCAGACCCACAUCCUGCCAUCUAGGCUUAGGUUUUUCGUGAUUUACCUAAAUCACUCCAGGAAAAUGCUAGGAUGUUUCCUUUGAAGAGAACAAAGCUGAUUUCCUGCCUCAUCCUUUCGUAGUCCCAACUUGUGCUCUGUCUCUAAUGAUCUCACUGCUGACAGGAUGUCAAUGUUUAAAUCUUCCAUAAUGUAGGAAAAGACAGCUUUCGACCACAGCCUUCGUCAGUAAGAGAGAGAUACGUACGAUUCAUACACACAAGCAAGCACACCUCAUGCACGCUGUCUCUCUCUUACUGAUGAAGGCUGUGGCCAAAGCUUUAUGUAAGUGUCUUUUAAUUGUGCCUGCAGCUUCACGUGUCAUCUUUACAGUAAGUAGCUAUCUGUCUUACCGUACAUGGUUGAUGUUCCUACUGGGGUUCCCAUUGUUUAAAUCUUCCAUCCUUUUUACAGCUUCAAAUCAACAUUUACUUAUCCUGUUUGGAGUGUCAGCAUUUUUCAAUCCAUUUUUCCCUUUCUGCUUGUUUCUAAUACCACACUGUUUCAUACUUUAAGUGAAAGAUUAUAUUUAUGUCUUCUUGCACCACAUUUCAGAUGCUUACAGUUUCUUCUUAGAUUUUCCAUUGUUGUGCUGUUUAAAGACUAGGCAGUUCUAUGCCCCAAAUGUACAAUUUGAUGAAACCUUAUUUUUAUUUAGAGAAUGGGUGAAUUUUAAUAGAUUUCACUCACAUAAUUAUAAAAUAAAAAUGAUUUAUUCUUUGGUGUGCUCAUAUUGUGUAAUCAUACUUCUUAAAUGGCAGAACUCUUUCACUUAUUUUACAAUGACUUUUCCAGUUUACAUGUUCAGAAAUUCAUUCUCUCUUUCUUUCACAAAUCAUUUUAGUAUUUUUUACAAUGCAAAUUUUCUACAGGUUUCACUUUGCUUCCCAUACAGCCUCCCCACUUUCAGCCUAAUGAAUUGUUGUGUAACUCAGUCUUAAACAUGGUAUGCGUUCUCCUCUCGCUCUUAUUCCUGCUUUACAUUACUCUUUUACUCGUUUCAGUGAUUUUUUGUGUCAGUUGUAAUGAUAGGAACAUGAAGACAAUACAACACCCAGUCCUCAAGUGGAGAAGAUCUCUGACCCGGCCUGGAAUCAAACCCAGGCGGCCUCGGUUUGCAAUCUGUUAUGCUGACUGCACAGCUACUGAAGCAGACUAGACUUUUUAGUUUCACAAUUUUUGUAUUGUUUGCUACUGGUGGGAUUAUCAUGGCAGAAUUAAGAUACACAGAAUAUAUUGUAAAUGGCAUCAGGUAUUGUGCUGCAAUGAUUGACUUCUGGAUCAAAGCGAAGUUAACUGUCAUUGAAAAGGAAUUCCUGAUAUGUACAACAGUAAUCGAUAGACGAGAUUUUUAAAUCCAAAUGCAGUCACUUGUAUUUCAUUUUGAAGUGACAGCUGUCUCCAUUUUAUAUAUUGCACUGACAUAUGUUAGUCACUGUUACAUUGUAAAUUAUGAAAGGUAUCAGGUUAAUUUCUUUUUAAUCAUUUACUCUAGGUGCAGGUAGAGAAUUACAAAAAUGAUACAUUUAAUAUUUAACAUUCUGGUACCAACAUGAUUGUUGGAGAUGGUACUGCAGUGUUUGUCUUGAAUAUAUUUUGAUUUAUGUCAUGAAUAACUUUGUCUUUUAUUACCAGUGUGCUAGUUGUGCAUUCAUGUGUAACUAAUAUGGGAGACAAUUUGGGAAGACCAUCAGUGUGUUACAGUCUAAGUGCCUUGCUGGAGGCAGUCCAACUACUUAAACACUUUAUUGAAGCAUUAAGCAUUCUCUGUGAUAAUCAUAUAGCUGAGACAUUCUCCACAACAGGUAAAGAAGUCAUGUUGUUAAACUGUUACCAUUGCAACAAAGAUUAUUUCUAUGUACAACAACAAUACUAAAUAUAAAUGUACCGGUGAACAAAAGAAUAAAUGUUAUUUAAAA